rnacentral:rRNA from 1 species
AACGAACGCUGGCGGCGUGCCUAACACAUGCAAGUCGUACGAGAAACACGUCCUUCGGGGCGUGGAGUAAAGUGGCGCACGGGUGAGUAACACGUGGGUAACCUGCUCCGGGGACCGGGAUAACUGGCCGAAAGGCCCGCUAAUACCGGAUAAGACCACAUGAGCCUCGGCUCAAGGGGUCAAAGUCGGCCUCUCAACGAAGCCGGCACCCCAGAAGGGGCCCGCGGACCAUUAGCUUGUUGGUAGGGUAACGGCCUACCAAGGCCAAGAUGGUUAGCUGGUCUGAGAGGAUGAUCAGCCACACUGGAACUGAGACACGGUCCAGACUCCUACGGGAGGCAGCAGUGAGGAAUAUUGCGCAAUGGGGGAAACCCUGACGCAGCAACGCCGCGUGGGUGAAGAAGGCUUUCGGGUUGUAAAGCCCUGUCAGGUGGGAAGAACAUUUUUCAGGUGAAUAGCCUGAGGAACUGACGGUACCACCAAAGGAAGCACCGGCUAACUCCGUGCCAGCCGCCGCAGUAACAC